CCCAGACCUCCAGCAUGGGGUCUCUAUUCAGAACUCCUUUAGACCACCCAGACGUCUCUGUGUCUGGGAGAUAAUUGAUUGAUAACCGAUAAACAAAUACUUUCCUGGAUACAAAGAGCGCAACACAGAAAUACCCCCAAAACAUCCCUUAAAUAUUAAUGUAUUCCCGCAUGUCCUACAUCAUUUUAAUGGGCAGAUCUAAGUGUCCAUUGUUGUAAAAUAUCGCUUGUAUCCAUGCAGAAUUGUCGAAACACCACACAGUCAAAGUUUCGCCCAACCGCUCCAAUAACCUGGGCUGAGCUCAGCUGGCCCGGGUGGGUUCCCUGCCACUUUGGACAUUCCUUUAAUGUUUAAUGCAAU